GAUGAACGCUAGCGGCAGGCCUAAUACAUGCAAGCCAAGGGGUAGCAAUACACCGGCGAACGGGUGCGUAACGCGUAUACAACCUACCUUUCUCUGUGGGAUAGCCUUUGGAAACAGGGAUUAAUACCUCAUAAUAUAAUUGAGUGGCAUCGCUUAAUUAUUAAAGAUUUAUCGGAGAGAGAUGGGUAUGCGUGUGAUUAGCUAGUUGGUGGGGUGAGGGCUCACCAAGGCGACGAUCGGUAGGGGAACUGAGAGGUUAAUCCCCCACACUGGCACUGGGAUACGGGCCAGACUCCUACGGGAGGCAGCAGUAGGGAAUAUUGGGCAAUGGAGGCAACUCUGACCCAGCCAUGCCGCGUGCAGGAAGAAGGCGUUAUGCGUUGUAAACUGCUUUUAUAUAGGAAGAAAUAGUCCUUGCGAGGAAAGUUGACGGUACUAUAUGAAUAAGCACCGGCUAACUCCGUGCCAGCAGCCGCGGUAA
rnacentral:rRNA from 1 species